rnacentral:rRNA from 1 species
CCUACGGGAGGCAGCAGUGAGGAAUAUUGGUCAAUGGACGAGAGUCUGAACCAGCCAAGUAGCGUGAAGGAUGACUGCCCUAUGGGUUGUAAACUUCUUUUAUCUGGGAAUAAAAUGUUCCACGUGUGGGAUGUUGUAUGUACCAUAUGAAUAAGGAUCGGCUAACUCCGUGCCAGCAGCCGCGGUAAUACGGAGGAUCCGAGCGUUAUCCGGAUUUAUUGGGUUUAAAGGGAGCGUAGGUGGAUUGUUAAGUCAGUUGUGAAAGUUUGCGGCUCAACCGUAAAAUUGCAGUUGAAACUGGCAGUCUUGAGUACAGUAGAGGUGGGCGGAAUUCGUGGUGUAGCGGUGAAAUGCUUAGAUAUCACGAAGAACUCCGAUUGCGAAGGCAGCUCACUGGACUGCAACUGACACUGAGGCUCGAAAGUGUGGGUAUCAAACAGGAUUAGAUACCCCGGUAGUC